rnacentral:rRNA from 1 species
CCCUUAGAUGUUCUGGGCCGCACGCGCGCUACACUGAUUCAUGCAACGAGUUUUGUCCUUGGCUGAAAGGCCUGGGUAAUCUUUGAACGUGAAUCGUGCUGGGGAUAGAUGAUUGCAAUUAUUCAUCUUCAACGAGGAAUUCCUAGUAAACGCAAGUCAUCAGCUUGCAUUGAUUACGUCCCUGCCCUUUGUACACACCGCCCGUCGCACCUACCGAUUGAGUGGUCCGGUGAAAUCUUCGGAUCUGAGAGAUGUUGGAUUAAUUUCUGACGCCUUUUGGAAAAGUUGCUUAAACCUUAUCAUUUAGAGGAAGGUGAAGUCGUAACA